rnacentral:rRNA from 1 species
UUGCUCUUCUUGGAUGAGUUGCGAACGGGUGAGUAACGCGUAGGUAACCUGCCUUGUAGCGGGGGAUAACUAUUGGAAACGAUAGCUAAUACCGCAUAACAAUGGAUGACACAUGUCAUUUAUUUGAAAGGGGCAAUUGCUCCACUACAAGAUGGACCUGCGUUGUAUUAGCUAGUAGGUGAGGUAAUGGCUCACCAAGGCGACGAUCGGUAGCCGGACUGAGAGGUUGAACGGCCACAUUGGGACUGAGACACGGCCCAGACUCC